UUUAUCUUAUUGGUCGCUAGGAUUAAUUUUGAAUCCUUCUUUUGAUCGGCUAUUCAUUCCUGAUUCUUUAUCUCAAGGAGGAAAUUGAGAGGGCCGUUUCUUCUGGAACCAAUUUUGCGAAAUUUCGCUAAUUCGUAUCCAACCCAUUUGUUAAAACAGAUUUAUUCUUUUGUUUUCAUUGCAAGAUAAUCAAUACCAAAAUUAACAAAGAUCCCGUGUAAAUGUUCUUGAUUCAGCUUGCCAUGGUCAUUUUGGCCAAGAAAAAUUCCAGUUGUAAAACCUAACAUCUCGGCGUUUCUUCAAUUUGCUUCGUAUAUUGGCCAAGGGAGGAACAAAUUAGGACCACUCAUGAUGAUGAUCCUAUGUUUGGAGUACCAAAAGCUCAAGCAUGCAAUGUCUGUUCACCCAGAUAUAAGCUUUGAGAGCAGCCGAUGAUGCUUCAUGAGCUGGGAAAUGACAAAGCUCAUUUAAGAGCACCAAUCAAUGGACCUGUUGAAGAAGAUGAUGGGAAUCCGUUGGGCUCACCGCUGCACAGUCUGUAAUAGUCACACAUGGAGAGCGCGUAUGCAUGCUUAGGUGACGUAGAUACGAUGGACGCAAGCACAGACGAUCAAGAGA